UCCUGGAGAGACACAGAACAGUGUGUUCAGUGCAAUCUGGACACGCCAUUUAGCCCUCCUUUUCAGGAAAAAGUGAUUCAAAUCUCACACCUACGGCUUUCUGUCACCGUGUAUGGAUUAUGUUGAAAAUGCACUCUGAGAAUGUACUUGUGCAAACCACAGUGUGUUUAAACUGGCAUGCAUUUGUAACUCUAAAAAAUAUUAAACUCAUGUUGGGAAGGAAGACAGGGUGAAAUCACUUGUCUCUGGCGAUGUUGCUAUAUGGCAGGUCUCAAAGUGGGGUCUGAGAGCCAGGAACCUGUGGCAUCUGUUAGGUCUGAAAAUUCUCCUAGGACCACACCCCCUACUAUGUCAGGAUCCCUAAGUGUCUCCUGCCACCCACUUUCCCACACCUUCUAGGGGCCUCAGACGCAUGCUGGAAUUUGAGAACUGCUGCUCUAAGAGGUUAUUUUCUUUCCAAACACUUAUCUCAUUUCCCACAGCACAGCAGGUGGGAUGCAGCUCCCGGUACCCAGACCUGGCCUGUUUCGAUUUGUUCACUGAUGCAAAACCAUCCUCUCCCUGGGAAGCACCUAUGAGCCACUUCCUGCCGGUGAUGGUUUGCUAAGAGAAUGCUUUUCACCUGGCUUCGUGCUAGCCUCUGCAGGGGCCCACAUGUGCUAGAUUCCCCAGGCCCAGAGCCAGAGGUCUGGCUAAGUAUCUGUGCACUUCCGAGCUUUCCCAAGAGGCUGCGUGCAGCAACUCAGGGGGUGGGGAUGGGGGGAGGCCGAGCUGGCCUGCUUCAGCCUGUGUUGAUUUUGUCCAGGGUCCAAGUUCCCUCAAGCUCCACAUGGUUCUUUUUAGGAGAGGAGCCGCGAGCCCUCAGAACUUGGCAGCCCGACAGAGGGAGCACUAUGUCACCCUGCGUCCUGCCCACUUGCUAUCCUGGAUCUCAGACUCUGUCCUCUCAGCAGACUCCCGGGGAGACGGUUCACACUUUGGGACACUCCCCCGGAAACCACAGGCAUCUGCGAGGCUCUCCGCCCUCGGAGAGUACGGGAUGGACCCUGAGCAGGAUACACUGACCCACCUCGACUUCAGCGGUCUCUGUUUCGUUCGUGCUUCUCCGCUUCCUGCCCCGCUUCGGGUAGCCAUUGAUCUUGCAUUCGUAGCAAGCUUCUGGCGAAAGGGAGUUGUCGUCCAUUUCACCGCUGACUGGUGGGUCUGGGCCUCCGCGGCUCAUGCCCAUCCCGGACACACAGUGCCUGCGGCAAAGGAGGGCGACAGAUGGUUUCCAUGGGAUCUGGGAAGCAGGGAACCUGGCCCAUCCUCGCCACAUUGAGACGUGGAUGACCUCCUGGCUCUGAGAGCCUCACCAAGGUCCUGUGCUUGACCUCUGAUUCCCAGUGCCCAGUUUGUUAUUUGUUUUCUCUCUCUCUCUCUCUCUCUCUCUCUCUCUCUCUCUCUCUCUCUCUCUCUCUCUCUCUCUCUCUCUUUCUUAAAACUCUGCUUUGUCUACUUUGUCUUUCUUUGCCCUCUCAUUUCCCAAACCUACCGGGGCCAGCACUUCAGCACUUGGUAGGACUUACCUGGGGAAGGAACACAGCGGAACUAAAGGGCAAUGGGGCUCAGGCAGACUGGGAGGUGGCAGAUUAAAUAAAACAUGUCUUCAUUUCAGGAAUCAGACCUCGUAGGAGUGAGAAAACCCACUCAGGGAGCCCCUUCUGGGCCAAGGCACCUUUCCUGACCACCAUAUUUGGUCUGCAUUCUGGACUUUGACCUCUAACAUUGCCUCUGCCACCACACUGCUCCCUGCUGGUCAAGAAGGUGACUCCAAGUACAAGACGUCCUUCCUUAGCUCCGGGUGCCACUGGUCCGCCAUCUGCUUUCCUGCCACCUUUCACCCCCAUGCCAAGCUUCCUUACUAGGCUCCUGGCAAUUACUUCUAUGCUUUGGCUCUUUCAUUUUUGCUGAUGCUAUUGCAGAUAGGAAGGAGGAGCCAGGUGAUAGCUGGGGCUGAGCUGGUAACAGACUGAGGCUGUGCCCCCACACACAGGUACACACACGCACACACAUACACACAGUGCACAGAUUGGCAUAUAAAGCACCCGCUCACAGCUUGCCCAACUGUGGGAAACAACUUCAAGUCAUUCAAAACCACUGGGGCCAUUGGCUUUGGCUCAUGUGAAGUGGGAUAAACAAACCGGGGCCCAGAGGGAUCUGCAUCUGUUGGUUUUCUUGCUUUUCAGGCAUCAAAGCCAAGCUAUGCAGCAAGGUCUGUGUGUUUCUCAGUGCCUUGUUUUGCUGCUCUAUUUACUAUUUCAAUAGCCACUUGGGUACAUAUCAGGUUCCUCUUCCAACUCGCUGAAACAUUCGCGUGGUCCUAAAAUAUCUUUAUCUUAAAGUUCACUCUGGUGAUGUGAAGCGGGGCCAAGACUGUUACAAAUCCGUAGACUUCUACUACUGUGUGCUCUGGAGGCCAGAUAUCAUUUACCUGUUUCUCCGCCGUAACCUGCUCUCCAUAAAGCAUUUUCCUGUAUGCCCUUACGAUUCAAAAGCAACUGUAAUCAAAGGUUCCUAUUUCCCCGUCCCACUAGACUGCGGCACAUUAUCCUUCCUCUUUAUCUUGCAACAUGAAAUGUCUAGAAGCAAUAAAACUGAUAAGAUAAUGAACGCUCCUCCGGGUGCGUACCUCCUACCCACACGCUGAUUCCAUUACCGAGGUAAACCCCUGGCUCACAAGCUUUGCUGCCUUUCUCAGAACUUCCCCAUAUUCCCUAUCCCAGGAGCACCACUUAUAAGAAAUGUGACUACAAAAUCCCGCUGGCCGAAAGCCAGUUUGUAGUGUCACAAUUUUUGCUGGGAAAUAUGGUUUUGGCACUUGGCUGUAAAGAACAGACAUGGACCUUGGGGAAUUGGUUUGCUAUUCUAUGCCGGCCUUGGGCAGGCUUCCCCGGAAACAUUCCUUACCUUCAAGCUGACGCGGGCACCAAGGGAAUCACUCAGUGCUUGAGGGACUUUUAAGACCUCUCGACCAACUCAUGGCACAAGUGUGCAUGUGUGUGUAUGAGCGUGUGUCUGUAGCAGUGGGAGUACACACACACACACACACACACACACACACACACACACACAGUAAUAUCUCUGUGUUUCUACAUAAAAGAUUUAAAAAUUACCACCCUUCACAGGAUAGCUAAAACUUGGUAGACACCCACCCCUGGGUUAAUUCAGCAUGGGAAAAGACCAGAACUUUGAAAACUUGCCACUACGCUUUUAAUUAUGGAGAAGAAAAGGUCUUCUUUGCCUCAACUGUCACAUAUAUAUUAUACCUAUAAAUAAUUUGGUGAAAUUGCUACCUGGGAAAUACAAUAACGACUUUAACCCAUAUUUAAUUGCUCCUUUGGCAACUUGUGAGCAUAAACUCAAGUCUGAAGUGCAAGAUGGACCUUAAAACCCCGGAAAGCUCCUCUGAGGAUGUGCUGCGUGGCGGAUGCCAAGGGCGGCUGGAUAGAAGGUGUCCUAAGGCCAGCGUGAAUCCUGCCCGCCCCAGUUCUGCCCUAGGUGGACAGGGAGAUGCGCACCUGGAGAGAGCCGUCUGCUCCCCAAGAGUGAGCUACAGCCAUAGAAGCUGCAAUGUCUGUGUCCAGCUGUCCCUCCAAAGCCUCAUGUGGGCACAGAGUUUUUUAGGAGGUGUCUGAAUCCAGGCUGUGUGACUGAUUUGUGGUGCGAUGCUGCGAUUAAGGGUGGGUGACUGCUGACCAGUCCACUGAUUGGACUGGCACCGCCCUGAUCCUGGCAGAUAGCAUACAAUCUCAGGGACAGAAAGAGGCUUGUCUUCUCUCUCCCUUGCUUGCUUUUGCUGUCUUCUGCUUGCCAUGAGCUGGCUCUCUUCUGUGAUGCCCGCCUGCCAAGCCACCCUGCCUUGGAAACAGCGGACUAUGGAGUGAAACCUCUGCAAACUGUGAGCUAAAUAAACCUUUUCCCUUAUAACUUUGGGUGCUGGGUAUUUUGUCUCAGUAACAAGAAAAGUAACCAAGACAGGAGCUUACCUGUCUGCACAUCCUUUACACUAGGAGACUCAUGUCCCCACCCACAGUCCCUCAGGCUAAAGGGUUCCUGAAGUAGAAAGGAUGAACUUUUGCCCCAUCUGGGCUCUUUUUCCUUUCAUUUGAAUUAGGGAUGAGGUAUGUGAUGGAGACCACAGGCACCAAGCCGUACAGCAAACAGAAGGGAAGGCAGCAGAUGUUUCCUUGGCUUACGUGAAUCAGCUGACCUCUCCCUGCUCCUUUGUGUCCUGUCCCUGCUCUGCACCUGCUCUUGGGCCCUAGAAGUAGAUCCGAGUGGAGCCUCAUCAGGUUGUUUGUCCUUCCCUUUGGCUUGGGCUUGGCUGGCAGCCUGCCUGCCCCAGCUCACAGGUGCAGGCAGGUGAGAGGACAUCCACUGAUAAGGAGCUCUGAUGUGGGCAGGAAGGCAGAAGCAGGACCGGAGGUUGGAAGGCGGGAGAGGGAAAGAUAUUCAUUCAUCACUGGAAAGACAUUUUGUAAGUGUUCCCAUGAACUGUACAGGGCUGGGCUACCCCGGGAGAGGAUAAGCACCUCUCAAGGUGGAAAUCAAGCCACAUGUGCAUGGGCAGGGUCGCUGGAGGUGGGGCACCUUCGUGUCAGGAAAGAGGGCAGAUUUAAUGGUCUGCAAACUCUGAGUCUCUAUAUGCAUGCCUGCCAAUAUUCAUUCUAGCCAGGAAUGCUCCUCCUCCCCUUUAUGUAAACUUUUCUAGUUUAUUUUACUUCUUCCCCCCGAGAAUCCCACGAAGUUUCAAUGAAACUUGCUUAUCGAGGCUGGAGAGAGGCGACAGAGUGGAGCACAGAUUCAGAUAAGUCAGCAAACACACAGCACUUACAGAGUACCUCUGUGCGUUCCAGCUUUUUAUCGAUCUACAAACACCACAAUUCGGUUUGUGCUCUGCCUGAUUCUUUGAUCUGGUGGAGCCCAAAGCUAAUGGCUCCUCAGGAUAUUUUUCUACACUCUAAAACAUUUGCCUUUUUCUUUUAUUUGGUAUUUCCAUUGUGGAGAGCCUUGCUCUUUGCACAGAACAGACAAUUCUAAUUUUUUUAAAAAAAGUCUCUGAAAACCACUUCUUAAAAGUAGAUGGAGCCUUUACCACUCUGACCUCUGAAAUCAAUGGCACCAGCCUCAGGGUCCUGGAGUGUGAGUUAGUUGUCGAGUCAAGGACAUCCCCACAGGAAUCCCCCAAACAGAAAAUAGGCUUUUACUAAUUUCUUCUAGGACAGAAGGGAAUAACUCCAACUGCAAGUGAAAAUUGUGGUGUCUGCAUGGAAAUACCUACCCUGAACCCAGUCUUGGGAAGAGUGAGCUUCUGGCUAACCAUGAGUGAGGGCCAGCAGGGCCAGCCCAAUGCUCUUUCUGGGUUUCCCUAAGUCCUGAGAUUUAUGAAGCCAGUUUGGGAUUUAGGGACAUGGAGAACCCUAAACCUCUUCCAACAUCUUAAUAAACUUAUUCUUGUAAAGUAUCCAGGCAGCGGAUGCUCUUCCCAGGGUCACGGUAGACUCUGGACAAUAGGGCCUGCCUGGCCAUCUGUGCUAUCUGCAGGGUGGAGGCUGCAGGGAGGAGAAGGUUCAGGACCGAUGCCCCUUUCUUUCUUUGUAUUUCCUCCCAUAGCUUCCCAUGUCACUACGGGAACCUAUGCAAUGGGAAGACACAGGCUCAGCUAGUCAGUAUUCAAACACGGUUCACUUUAGAGCACACUGGUGAUUAAAAUCAAAGACCUUUCCAAUUUUCAUAAUUGUAAGGCUCAAUUCUGAUAUGACUCUUCCAGCACCUAACCUGAGGAGUGCAUCACUGGGUUGCAAACACAGGAUGUCUUAAAAGAGGUAAGAUGGAACAUGGACUCUUCCAAAUACCCCGAACAUCUGAAGACAGCCAAGCACUCAAACUGAAUGUCUCAAGAACUUUGGCCAUGGAGGCACAAGACAUUCAAGGAACUGUGACCACUGAGGUUUACUAAGAACUUCCCACCUAAAGUCCCUGGCCUUCUUUCAAGCCCAAUAAAAAACUUGCUUCUCUUUGUUUCCUACAGACGGCCUUUUCACCCUCUGU